rnacentral:rRNA from 1 species
GGCCCAGACUCCUACGGGAGGCAGCAGUGGGGAAUAUUGCACAAUGGGGGGAACCCUGAUGCAGCGACGCCGCGUGGGUGAAGGAGUAUUUCGGUAUGUAAAGCCCUAUCAGCAGGGAAGAACAAUGACGGUACCUGACUAAGAAGCACCGGCUAAAUACGUGCCAGCAGCCGCGGUAAUACGUAUGGUGCAAGCGUUAUCCGGAUUUACUGGGUGUAAAGGGAGCGCAGGCGGCGCGUUAAGCCUGGUGUGAAAGCCCGCGGCCCAACCGCGGGACUGCAUUGGGAACUGGCGCGCUGAAGUGCCGGAGGGGUAGGCGGAAUUCCUAGUGUAGCGGUGAAAUGCGUAGAUAUCAGGAGGAACACCGGCGGCGAAGGCGGCCUGCUGGACUGCGACUGACGUUGAGGCUCGAAAGCGUGGGGAGCGAACAGGAUUAGAUACCCCUGUA